rnacentral:rRNA from 1 species
UACGUAGGGACCAAGCGUUGUUCGGAUUUACUGGGCGUAAAGAGCGUGUAGGCGGCUUUACAGGUCCGUUGUGAAAACUCGAGGCUCAACCUCGAGACGCCGGUGGAAACCGUAAGGCUAGAGUCCGGAAGAGGAGAGUGGAAUUCCUGGUGUAGCGGUGGAAUGCGCAGAUAUCAGGAGGAACACCGGUGGCGAAGGCGGGUCUCUGGGCAGUGAACUGACGCUGAGGAGCGAAAGCGUGGGGAGCGAACAGG